rnacentral:tRNA from 1 species
CAUUAGAUGACUGAAAUUUUAAGUAAUGGUCUCUUAAACCAAAACAUAGUAUCUAUUACUUCUAAUGA